GGGGGUCGGGGGGGGGGGUCUCCUGUCUCCCCCAGUGCCCAGCCGUUCCGUCUAGCAUGUUCACAAACCGAGCACGUGCUUGGUGUCUGUCAAAACACGGCACUGCCUUUUCCCUGUUAGUGCUGUCACUCAAGCCUGAGCAGGUUAGCGAGACUCAGGUGAGACUGUACCUGUGUGAGACUGUACCUGUGUGAGAUUCAGGUGAGACUGUAUCAGUGUGAGAUUCAGGUUUGACUGGACCAGUGUGAGAUUCAGGUGAGACUGUAUCAGUGUGAGAUUCAGGUGAGACUGUACCUGUGUGAGAUUCAGGUGAGACUGUAUCAGUGUGAGAUUCAGGUGAGACUGUAUCAGUGUGAGAUUCAGGUGAGACUGUAUCAGUGUGAGAUUCAGGGGAGACUGUAUCAGUGUGGGAUUCAGGUUUGACUGGACCAGUGUGAGAUUCAGGUGAGACUGUAUCAGUAUGAGAUUCAGGUGAGACAGUAUCAGUGUGAGAAUGAGAUGAGACUCUAUCAGUGUGAGAUUCAGGUGAGACUGUAUCAGUGUGAGAUUCAGGUGAGACUGUAUCAGUGUGAGAUUCAGGUGAGACUGUACCAGCGUGAGAUUCAGGUGAGACUGUACCUGUGAAUCUUAGGUGAGACUAUACCAGCGUGAGGCACACACUGUUCCAUACCACUUUGAAGCUUUGAUCACCUUGCUCUUUAGGAAAUUUCCCAGCAGUGGGCUCUGAUUGGUUGUUCCCUGAUCGAUGUUACCAGAACAUGUAGCCUUCUUUUGUAGAGAGAGAGAGAGAGAGCGAGCGAUCACAAAGCCAUACAUGGAGGAAAUGGCAAUUUAGUCCCCACUAUUUCAGUUUAGAAAUAUGUUUUAACGAAUUGAAAGGAAACAAAAAAAAUAAAAUAAAACCUAAAACGUCCCUAAAAAGCCCCUUACCCAAUUCUUUUUGUUCUCUUUGGCGAAAGCUCUUGAAUGUACCGGUCGGAGACGUAGAGGGAGUCUCACGGUGGACCUCGGUAGUCCGGCUUCUUUGGCGAGUGAGGCCACGGCGUCAGCGCACCGGAAGCCAUAAAUCUGCACUUAAGCGGCACUUAAGUCCCCUGUAAACUAAGCCCGUUAGCCCCUUAGCCCGUUAGCUUGUUAGCCCGUUAGCCCCUUAGCCCGUUAGCUCGUUAGCCCUGUUGGGUUUUUCAAGCACCCUCUCUCACCCAAGCAGUGUUGGUCCUUGAGUAUUUUUUCUUUAAAAAAAAAAAAAAAUCCUUUAUUGAAUGUAUGGCCGUCAAAUUUUUAUUUUUUUUUUGUAAUUGCACUGGCCGAGCUGAAAUUAAGAAAGCGUGCUGAGCUUUUUGCUCGUCUGCCCGUCAAGAGUUAAACGCGUCCCGUUUUUGUUUUAUAAAUGUUUAAAACAAAAAAGAAAGAAAAAAAACGUUUUUUUUUAUUUUAUUUUAUUUUUUUUUAACUGCUCCUCAGGGCACUGCCUUCUCGACCUUGUGCCAAAAUCAUUCCGUGGGAUUUCGCCGUUUACUGCUCUAGGUUUACAGAGACAAACACCCCGUCCUGCAAGGCCACCGUACUUAAGUAAGGGGGUAAUAUUCUAUUUUGGGGGAAGUCUUUGUUCAUUUUAAAUGUUUUUUUUUCUCUUUUCUUUUUUUAAAUUUUUUUUUUAAAGAAUGACUUGUUUUGGAAGCUGUAUUGGAUACAUUUUUUAUUUAAAACCUUGUAAUUUUGUAAAGUGGGCCUUGUUUAAAUAUAUUGUUAUUUUUCUUUUGUUUUGAAUCUCUUUUAAUGCACUCCUGGGGAGUCUUUUUGCUUGUUCUUCUGUUAUUUCUAAAGUUUAAAAAAAA